CAUAAUUAAUUAAAUUUUAUCUUGAUGCAUUUGAAUAAUAUAAGUGUCACAGCCCAAUUUUCGAGCCAUGACCUGCACAAGGGACCAAUGGGCUCAGCCCACCAAGCCCAAGCAAGCCUAAUUACAUGAUCUUAUACGUUAAUCCAUAUUCUUUUAGAAUCAGAGAUUCAUAAUGCUCAAUUACAAUUUCUUUGAAAAUAACUCAUAAAAUCCAGUCAUGUAUUCAUAAUGGCAUCAUCAACCAUUAUAUACAUACAUCUAAUUUGACAAGUGAAUCUCAGCAUUUCACAACAAGUAGUCAUAUACACGUAAUUAAAACUUGACCGUCAGCGGAGUGACUCUGGACAUGGUUGCUAACAUUUAAUGUCAUGGUAAACCUACCGAGCAAUGGAUAGUGAGGAGCACCUCGUCCUAAGAUCCAAUCACCUUUGACUAUGAAAAACAUAAAACAUGAAUUUUAAAAACGUAAGUACAAACUCAGUGAGUGAACAUAGAAAGGGAACAAGCAACGUUAAGGAAUGUUUCUUUUUUUAAAAAAAAUCAUGAUGCAUUUAAGUUCAAAACAAUACAGUUUAGCUUAACCCUUAUUAAAAACCCCUCAUUUCAAAUCUUGAUCUUUUGGUCACUUAAUAAUGAAAGACUCAUGAACAACAAAGUAGUUGAGAAGUGAAAACUUUAGUAAACUUCAAGUAAGUCAAACAUAAUAGAUUGACUCUCACCGCAGCAAAAAGGUAUUUUUUCUGCAUCGAGAUUCAAGCCAUAUAAAAUCCAAGGGGUAUUCACUGCCAUUGGGAAAAUCCACUCACGCCACGUUGCAAAUUAAAUUGAACACAUUGACAAUACUCAAGUUACCAACAGUCAAUGCAAUCACAUUUUAAAUCCAAACAUAUCUAUAUAGUAAUCAUGUAUGUAUAUAUAAGCACAUACACCUCAAUCACAUCACCCAGCUCAUAUGCAUCAUUACCGGCAUGUGCACUGCCCACUUCGCACAUGCACGGUAGUAAUUAUCGCAACAUCAUCAUUCAACCGGCAUGUGCACUACCCACUCUGCACAU
rnacentral:lncRNA from 1 species